CCUACGGGUGGCAGCAGUGGGGAAUAUUGGGCAAUGGGCGCAAGCCUGACCCAGCAAUGCCGCGUGAAGGAAGAAGGCUUUCGGGUUGUAAACUUCUUUGUCUGGGGAAGAGCAGCAGAUGGUACCCUGAAAACAAGCCACGGCUAACUACGAGCCAUCAGCCGCGGCCAUACGUAGGUGGCCAGCGUUGUCCGGAUUUCCUGGGUGUAAAGGGCGUGUAGCCGGGAAGGCAAGUCAGAUGUGAAAGCUGGAGGCUCAACCUCCAAAUUGCAUUUGAAACUGUUUUUCUUGAGUACUGUAGAGGCAGACGGAAUUCCUUGUGUAGCGGUGAAAUGCGUAGAUAUAAGGAGGAACACCAGUGGCGAAGGCGGUCUGCUAGACAGCAACUGACGGUGAGGCGCGAAAGCGUGGGGAGCAAACAGGAUUAGAUACCCGAGUAGUC
rnacentral:rRNA from 1 species